CUGGAUUCAGUGGGAAGGAUCCAGAUGAGAACGAGGCGGACCCUCCGAGGCCAUUUAGCCAAAAUCUACGCCAUGCACUGGGCCACAGAUUCCAGGGCUUGUGGGAGAAGACACAAUUGUUUGAUGGAGCGGGUGUACAGUGUGUUUGUGUAAAUUGUGAUUUAAAUGAAGGAUUUAAAUGCUACAGUACAUGCUGAACAUAUGCUGUUCAGUCACAACUGUUAUCCACCCUCACCCUCUUUCAAACUUAUUUGUUUAAUCUGUUAUAGGGCUUAGCGAUAUGGCUACAAAAAUUACAUUUUUAUAUUUUUAAUCUUAUUGAUGACAUUCUACAGUUGAAGUCAGAAGUUUACAUACACCUUAACCAAAUACAUUUAAACUCCGUUUUUCAUAAUUCCUGACAUUUAAUCGUAGAAAACAUUCUCUGUCUUAGGUCAGUUAGGAUCACUACUUUAUUUUAAGAAUGUGAAAUGUCAGAAUAAUAGUAGAGAGAAUGAUUUCAGCUUUUAUUUAUUUCAUCACAUUCCCAGUGGGUCAGAAGUUUACAUACACUGUUAGUAUUUGGUAGCAUUGCCUUUAAAUUGUUUAACUUGGGUCAAACCUUUUGGGUAGCCUUCCACAAGCUUCUCAUAAUAAGUUGCUGUAAUUUUGGCCCAUUCCUCCAGACAGAACAGGUGUAACUGAGUCAGGUUUGUAGGCCUCCUUGCUUGCACAUGCUUUUUCAGUUCUGCCCACAAAUUUUAUAUUUGAUUGAGGUCAGGACUUUGUGAUGGCCACUCCAGUGCCUUGACUUUGUUGUCCUUAAGCCAUUUUGCCACAACUUUGGAGGUAUGCUUGGGGGUCAUUGUCCAUUUGGAAGACCUAUUUGCGACUGAGCUUUAACUUACUGGCUGAUGUCUUGAGACGUUGCUUCAAUAUAUCCACGUAAUUUUCCGACCUCAUGAUGCCAUCUGUUUUGUGAAGUGCACCAGUCCCUCCUGCAGCAAAGCACCCCCACAACAUGAUGCCGCCACCCCCAUGCUUCACGGAUGGGAUGGUGUUCUUCGGCUUGCAAGCCUCACCCUUUUGGAGCAGUGGCUUCUUCCUUGCUGAGCAGCCUUUCAGGUUAUUUUGAUAUAGGUCAUGUUUUACUGUGGAUAUAGAUACUUGUCUGCCUGUUUCCUCCAGCAUCUUCACAAGGUCCUUUGCUGUUGUUCUGGGAUUGAUUUGCACUUUUCGCACCAAACUAUGUUCAUCUCUAGGAGACAGAAUGUGUCUCCUUCCUGAGCGGUAUGAUGGCUGUGUGGUCCCAUGGUGUUUGAUGAGCGUGGUACCUGUUUAGGCGUUUGGAAAUUGCUGAAGUCUUGGCUGAUUCCUUUUGAUUUUCCCAUGAUGUCAAGCAAAGAGGCACUGAGUUUGAAGGUAGGCCUUAAAAUACAUCCACAGGUACACCUCCAAUUCAGUACACCUCCUAUCAGAAGCUAAUUGUCUAAAAGUUUGACAUCAUUUUCUUGAAUUUUCCAAGCUGCUUAAAGGUGCAGUUAACUUAGUGUAUGUAAACAUCUGACCCACUGGAAUUGUGAUAUAGUCAAUUACAAGUGAAACAAUCUGUCUGUAAACAAUUGUUGGAAAAAUGAUUCGUGUCAUGCACAAAGUAGAUGUCCUAAAUGACUUGCCGAAACUAUAGUUUGCUAAUAUGAAAUCUGUGGAGUGGUUAAAAAAUGAGUUUUAAUGACUUCAGCCUAAGUGUAUGUAAACUUCAACUGUAUAUCUCGAUAAUUAUGGAUUUGCCCCGAAAUGACAUUAAAAGUGACUUUUUAUUUUUAAUCAGAGGAACCAUCAUUUUAACCAAAUGGCCACUGUAGCCAAGUAGAUUUUAAUGCAUGAAAUAAAAAUAUAAAAUUAAUGAAUGUUUUUCACAGAUUUUCACUAAAUUAACACAAGAAUGAUAUUUAAUCAUUUUCAUUUUAGAUGAGCCAAUACAACAAUACAGAUUUUCCUACAUUUGUACUAUGUAGUGCCACCUAGAUAGGCAUGUUCGGGGGGCUCUGUAGCACAUCCCUUUUGAGCUACAGUCACCAAACUUUGAAUAUAUAUAGAUCUCAUCAAGCCGGAUAACUUUCACGCUGACAGUCAUAAGGUCAGGUCAACAGGAAGUUGGCCAUUUUGGAUUCUUUGAAAAUGCAUGCUCUGGAAUUUGAGAUACUCCUCCUAGGGAUUUCAUGUUACAGGUACCAAAUGUGCGCAAUAUCAUGCCAAGACAUUGACGAUGCUAAAUUGUGAAAUUAUUUUUGAUAUAUCGAAUGGUGUUGCCAUGGUGACACGAUAAAUUAACAUCCAAAAAUGGGAAAAAGGAAGUGUCUUAUAUCUUAUGCAUGCAUCGUGUGAUUUAUAUCAAAAUUGAGUUGUAUGUUUGGCCUUGCAGGCUGAUCACAUUGAUGUGGCUACUGUGGGUCAUGGUCAAGGAAGUGUGGCACGUUUAACAGACUUUGAAAUAUCCCUCUUAUAUUUACCUGAAUUGCUUCAUAUUUUUUUACAAUAAUGUCAAGAGAGUGCAGAUUUAAAAUUCUGAAAGGAUUCUUGAUAUCUUACACAGUGUUGCCAUGGCAAUGCAUUAAAGUCAUUUUUCCUUUUUAUGUGUAUUCACAUGUUUUUGAGGUACUUGGAAUGCUUGAAUUUUCAUAAUAUUUUGCACACACAUCAGAGUUGUCAGCCAUUAGCCCUGGGCAAAAGUUAACACAUGGGCGUGGCUGGGGAGCUCUGUAGUGCCACCUUUUGAAAAAAGUGGUGGGGUCAGUUUCUUUUAUGGUCACUAAACUUGCUACAUGUUUUUCUCAUCAAGCCGAACAACUUUCAAAAUUACAGUCAUUAGCUCCACCUAACAGGAAGUUGGCUAUUUUGGAUUGAAUGUGUAUUUUAUUUAAAAUUGCAGGCCCUGAACUUUUGAAUACUCCAUCUAGGGGAUUCAUGUGAUUUGUCACCAAAUUUAGGCAAUAUUAUGCCCAGACAUUGAAGAUGCUAAGUUGCAAACUGUUUUUUUGAUAUAUUGAACGGUGUUGCCAUGGCAAGGCAUUAAAUUAAGGGCAAAAAUGUGAUAGCUCCUUAUAUCUGCUGUGUCCAUUGUAUGAUUAUGAUGAAAAUUCAGCUGUAUGUUUGGUAAUGGGGGCUGAUCACAUUUAUAUGGCUAUUAUGUGUCACAUUAUUACAAUGUUGCAUUUUCUUCUUUGUUCGGUUCGCUUUCACAAAGUUGUUUUGGUGCGGAUCCGAGUGCGAUUGCCGCGUUCAUAUGCCUAAACGAACCGAGCCAAGGUAGAAAAUGCGGCAGUUUCCAAAACAAACGCUCCAAACGAGCCAGGUGUGAAAACGCCCUCACAUGCGCGUGUGCUCCAAGAUUGCACGUGCCUAAAAGGUCAAAUACAUGUCAAAAAAUUCACCAAAAUGCCGGUCUUGGCAAGGUGUUCAUGUAAACACAGAGUGAUGUCUAAAGGUAAACAUUAGGAGAAAAGCUGAUUUUUAUAGAAAUGUAUGACUUGUAAGUUUAAAUGUAAUCUAAUAGACUUGCCGCUGUCUAGUGUAUCCUUAAUGUUAAUCAAACAACAACAAGAAAAUGACAAAACCACUCACUGCUCUUGGCUGAAUAACUUUACUAGUAUAACUCUAGUAUAAAAGUAUUAAAGUAUUAUUCGCACAGGGAAGAUCAGUAGUGAUUUUAUGUCAAGAUCAUUCUGAAUGUUUAAUUGAAUACUUGAUACUGUUUAUUUUUUUAAAGCUGUUAAAAAGCUCUGUUUUCUUUUGUAUUGUUGUUUGGUCUCUAGUGUUUUUUCAUUUUUUUUUUCAUUGCUUUUCUUUUGUUAUUACUGAAUAAUAACUUGAGAGCUUUAUUUUAUAAUUAAGUUAAUUUUUAUUAGGCUAUUAUUUGUUGUGGUAUUGAAGCUGGUAUAAAAAAUCAUCACAUUUCACUAAAGACUACUGAAAUUUUGGUAUUUAGAUAAAUGUAUAUAUUGUGUAUGGUAUCUUGCUGCAAUAACAUGAUGGAAAAAUAGAUAUCAUUCCUUAGAAGUGUGAGUACACCUGCUGUUAAUGAUGGUGAUGAAGGGUUUCCUUUAUUUGACUACCGUGCGUACACAUAACAUAAAAUAACCUCCUCUACCCAGAGCAGUUUACAUUUCUGUCCCAGAUAAUCUAGUUGGUUGCAUAGGUAUAAUACUAUUAGGUUGGCCAUGUAGUAAUUUUAGAAAACAUACAACAGAAACUCUGACAUGAUACUUGAGCAUGAAACCAAUACAUGUCCUUUUUUUUUUUUUUUUUCUCUGGACAAGUAAUGUUUUACUUGGACAAGUGAAUGACCAAUAUACUUGUCCGAAGAACAAGCACAUCACAAUGCUUACUGUUGAGCCCUGCAUGUCAUCUGUACAGAAUGCCAUAAACAGGUUGCAUUCAAAAAUGGAAGUACUUCAGAUCUCUUCCAUUUACAACAGCGCCAUAAACUGCAGUAUGAAGAGUGUUAAACGUUGUGCUGCUGCAACCCGAAAAGUCUUCUGCCCCGAAACAAAGCGCGAUGCAAGCUUCAUUUACCAUCUCACAUGUGGCUUUGACUUACAACUGAACAUUUAGCUCACUUUGUAGAAAAACCGAGAUAUAUAUCAUGCAUCACCAUUCAGCCUAAAAAUACAGAGAUAUGAAUUUUGUCUAUAUCGCCCAGCCCUAUUACAAUGUAAGUGCUGUUAGCAGUUGGAGCCAGCAACUAUUUUCAUUUUCAACAAACAUAUUUGUAACAGUAAAAGGACGGGCAAGCAGGAGGCAGGAACUGGCUGAACGGUAAAUGUAAGUUUAAUGUAAAAACUCAAACUUAAAACAACAUAAAACAAACACAGCCACACAUGCAACUUGGCCACGUGUGUCUCUCUCUCUCUCUCUCUCUCGAACUGGAGCCUCCGGCUCCCCUUUAUCAGCUGAUUCAGCACCGGCCGUGAACCUUACUACACGAAUGCAUGCGCCCACCAUUCUUUGUUUUCCUAGAGCCACCAGGUGGCAAUGGCGCCGUAGUGCUUGGGCCCGUCAUCACUGCUUGCAGCUAUAUUCUUGUUUUUCUUAUUGGGGGCCAACCAGCAAAGAUUACCCUAUUGUAAUUGUACUGAUUUUCUUUUCUUUUUUUCUGCCCUAAAAGUGUCUGGGCGUCAGAGACCGUAAGUCGUGGAGACACCAAACUUGGCAGGAUGAUCCCAAAUCCCCCACACUACUCAGGUGCACAAACGCACACGCAUCUGACCCUAGGUGGUGCUAUAAUAAACACUUUUAUUUUUUGGCUCAUAUCUCUGCAACCGUAAGGGCUAAAAUAGAAAUUCAUUUUUCCUCCGAUUCCUUGAGUCAAGCCCUACAAAAUGUAUAUCUCUGAUUUCAUUUCCAUGUAUAAUUUUUUUUCCGCCAUUUUUGAAUUUUUUUGAAAAACCUAUUUUUUCGAACUUCUCCUAGACCGUUAGUCCAAUCAGCAUGCAAUUUGGUAUACAUCUACAGACCCUCCUGACAAAAAGUUAUCAAAAGAAUUUCGAUACGUGAAAUCGUUCCAAAGAUAUUAACGAUACAGUUCCUUUGGUUUAAUGCAAUUUGAGUAAUUGAUCACUGUCUACUCAUCGCAAACUCCAAAUGUAACCAAACUCGGUGCACAUAGUCAACAGGACGUUUAGAAGAUGUCAGCAAAGUUUCAUACAAUUCUGCCCCUAGGGGGCGCUACAAAACAAAAAAAAAACUGUCAUAACUUUUCAGCCUUUUGAGCAACAAAGUUCAAAUUAAAUAUGCAUCUUCGCUGGUUCAAAUGCUAGGAUAUUCUUAAAAAAUCGAUUUGACAAAUUAACAAAAAUAGCUGCCAACGGCCAAUCACAUUUUAGCACCUUAUAACUCAUAUUGGGAAUGGCUGAGGGUUAUGGAAAUUACUAUACACAAGCAGGGUUUAGCCGCAUAUAAAAUUGUGACAAUCGGCCACACGGUGGCGGUAUAAUUAGCUAAUUCACGUUUUUGCUCAUAACUCCGGAACCGUAUAGGCUACAAUACAAAUUUGUAGCUUCUCUGAAUCCACCAGUGCCCCACAAUGAUAUGGUCACUUAUUUUCCAUUUCUGCAAGAAAUUUUUUUCACAAUUUUAAUUUAUUCGAAAAUAUACUUUUUCGAACUCGUCAUAGGCUGUUUGCCCGAUUCUCAUGAAACUUGGUAUACAUCUUCUACAGAACCUCCUGACAAAAUUCAUUCCAAAGAUAUAAGCAAAUAUGUUUUGGGCGUGGUUUGUAAUGACUAAUUAGCCUGUAUAUUGUGAGUGCAAUUUUAAAACUUAGCAAAACUUAAAAAUAAAAACAUGGAAAAGGGACAUUUCUGAGGUCACUCGCAAAAUUACAGCAAUUUGGCUAGAACAAUAACAGAAGAAAUAGCUAUUUUUACAACUGCAUUUUUAAAUAAUUAGAAAUGUUGUGAAAGACAAUCUGUUUUACUGUUUGUCCACCAGAGAGAGCCACACAACAAGAAAUGUCUUGUUUUUGAUUGCACUAUUUUAAGCAACACAUUAAUCUCGCAGUAACACAGUAAUGUAAUUAUUGAUGUAUUGCAGCUCGUUACAGAUAUAGGUGAGUCCAGGGGUUAUGUUAACCGAAAAGUCUGUCAUUUUUCACUGUACUGGUGAGUUUGUCAGGUUUGUUCUGUGUGUGUGUUCAGGUGUCACUUGUUGAGCAACUUGGUUGCUCGGUGAUCAGCAAUUCUUUGGAGAAGUUGAACACGCGGCUAAUUGAUUAUCAGCGCACCUGUCUUUCAUUUUCUCUCCCUAUCCACAAUAUUCUCAGCGAGUCCACUAUAUUUCGCAAGGUGGGUGGAAUUUCUGGAUGGCUAGCAGAAGUGUGAUUGGUUGCCGUUUUGUGUGUAGCCGGUCACUGCUUGCUUGCGUGUCAUGCGGAUAGAUUCUUGCUUGUUGUAAGAUGUCUUAUAAAUUUCCCGGAUCAUGUGUGCAGUUAAUGAUUAUUCUGUUAAUUAAGCGAAACUAAAGUUUAGUCUAAAACAGCAAUGUUAUUUUCAGAAACCACUCUCAAAACACAGCACUCCAGUUCCAGAUACUGACUCUGUCAUCGGCUGCCUACAGAAGGAUUGACUUAGAAACAUCUGUUUGAAAAAAGCUUGGAAUAAUUUGUUUGUGUGCUCUUUUCACUUUAUUGGCAAGAAGUCAACAGUGGGGGUUACUUACAUUAUCCACUGUUACGGUCCGGCUACGAUAGACGACCAGAAACGGAGCGCAAUGAAUUACAUAAACUAUAGCAUUAUUGUGCUAACAGAUGUGUGUACAUGUGCUGAAAGUUCAUUAGAAAUUUUGAGAGUUUGUUCAUUUCUAUUCAGUGUUUGCCUUUGUGAAUGUUUCAUGUGUUUUGAAAUGGCAUUAUUUCGGAGUAUAAAAAGGAUUUUUUUUUUUACAGUGUUUUUCCUGACUUGUGACUAUGUUUUCAACUGUUUUCAUGCUGUGAUGCUAAAUGGAUAAAUUCUACAGGUGAAGAACAUCAUUAUUAGAUGAGACAUGUACAGUAGUGAGAUGUUUUAUUACGUUUGAAAUUAAUUGCAUUAUGAUUUUCCUUCUUCCUGCAUUUUUCCUGCCUGCAGUUUACUUUCUUUUGAGUGUCUUUGCAGAAUGUGCAUGUCUUUGUGCAUGCACAUUAAUUCAUUAUCAAUUAAAGUUAUUUGUACAGUGCUUUUAAUAAUACAUACUCAAGUUGCUUUACAGUGAACAUUGAACUUUUGUGUACAAUGUUUAUAGUGUAUGUCCAAAUAAAUGUUUAUUUGUAUUGCAUGUAGUUCUUUUUGUACAGUACAGUUUAUUGUGUGACCGCUAAGACAUUGUUAUUUCCUACACAAGAACAAUAAAUUCAAUCUAUCAACAGGAUCAGUUGUUUAGUCAACACUAAAACAUUUCAUGUAGGUUAAAGCAUUUCGAUACAGAUAUUAUGUAAGUAAACUUAGAAUUAUAAAGCUAGAUUGAGCUUACUACACAGUCAUCUCCCACAAAAUAAUUGUAUUUUAUCUGAAAAACAGCAGCAUGACAGUCUCAUCGCUGUCCUGUAAUACACGAGCAUCCUGCUGUCUGGACCUCCCCUGAUUUUUGAACUCAUCCUAGGCUGUUUGCCCUAUUCGCACAAAACUUUGUAUACAUUAUCUACAGACAUUUACUGACAAAAUGUUAUCAAAAUAAUUUUGAUAUAAGGUAAAUCGUUCAGAAGAUAUUAGCCGAUAGGUUUUUGGGUAUGGCCUAUUAUGACUAAUUGACACAUUUAGUGAGCACAUAUUUUAAACUUAACAAAACUUAGUAUACAUGCACAAAACAACAUUCUGAGGUAACAUGCAAAAUGUCAUCAAUCUGGCAUGGCUGUAACAUAAAUACCUAAUUUCUCAACUGUAUUUAAAGCCUUCAUAGGCAUUAAAGGCAGUACUGUUUGUCCACCAGAGGGUGCCACAUAAAUAUAAAUCAUUCAAAGAGUAUUUAAAGAUAUACUAAGGGUGGGUUUC